AUGGAACAAGCAAAAAUUAUAGAUACAUUGGAGACGUAUCAGACCGUAUAUAGGUCGGAGAAGCGAGGUUGGCAAAAUUAUUGGCUCUGUCAACUUUGCAAAAGAGAGCAAGAAACAGGAGCACAUCUCUUCUUCAAAUGUUGCUACACCCUUAGGCUUUGGAAUUCGGUCACCGACAAGUUGGGUCUUGCCCACAUGGACACCUCCACAUGGCACCUUGAUGAUUCGGACAAGGAUUGGUGGGACAAGAGAACCGGCAUGCAAAAUCUCGACAGACGAGCCAUGGCCUCUCUUACCAUGCUCGUUUCAUGGACCACCUAGAACAAGAGAAAUACCUGACUCUUCUACCACAAGAGUGCACCACCGCUGAUUCUUCUUACAUCAAUUUUAGAGGAGGCAAAACUUUGGGUCUUAGCAAGUGUUAAGAAGCUUGACAUAAUUUUAUGGCGGGAGUAG
rnacentral:rRNA from 1 species